AAUGAACGUUGGCGACGUGGAUUAGGCAUGCAAGUCGAGCGAGAACCAACGGUGCUUGCACCUGCGGGGACAGCGGCAGACGGGGUAGUCAUACAUAGGUUACGUACCCUCAGGUCCGGAAUAGCCACGGGAAACUGUGAUUAAUGCCGGAUAAUCUCUGCGGAGCAAAGGUGUGAUUCCGCCUGAGGAGCGGCUUAUGCGUUACUAGGUUGUUGGUGAGGUAACGGCUCACCAAGCCUUUGAUGACCAGGGGGUGUGAGAGCAUGGCCCCCACCACUGGGACUGAGACACUGCCCAGACACCUACGGGUGGCUGCAGUCGAGAAUCUUCGGCAAUGGACGCAAGUCUGACCGAGCGACGUCGCGUGCGGGAUGAAGGCCCUCGGGUUGUAAACCGCUGUCAGAGGGGAGGAAAUCGUAGUUGGCUAUCCUUCUACGUUGACCGAGCCUCAGAGGAAGCACGGGCUAAGUUCGUG
rnacentral:rRNA from 1 species